UUUCUCCCAAAAUGGCGGCUUCCAAUAUGGAAAUCAGGAUGGAAACUGAUGAAUAUUCAGAAGGCGUAAAUGUGGACGUUGAGAGAGAGGACUCUCGAAGUGUUAGCCACGAAAAAAGGAAGAUAGGCAAGGCACAGCCUGCUUCAUACAUGUCCAGGAGAUUUGGUCACCCGUACUUGAGAUCAGGAAAGUUUACAUAGAUGUAUAAGCUGAAAUCA